UACGGGGGGGGCAAGCGUUGUUCGGAAUUACUGGGCGUAAAGGGCCAGUAGGCGGCCAACUAAGUCCGACGUGAAAUCCCAAGGCUUAACCUUGGAACUGCGUCGGAUACUGGAUGGCUUGAAUUCGGGAGAGGGAAGUGGAAUUCCCGGUGUAGUGGUGAAAUGCGUAGAUAUCGGGAGGAACACCAGUGGCGAAGGCGACUUCCUGGCCUGUUCUUGACGCUGAGGCGCGAAAGCUAGGGGAGCAAACGGG
rnacentral:rRNA from 1 species